rnacentral:rRNA from 1 species
GGAAUAUUGGUCAAUGGACGGAAGUCUGAACCAGCCAUGCCGCGUGGAGGAAGAAGGUCCUAUGGGUUGUAAACUCCUUUUGUUCCAGAGUAAUAAGGUCUUUGCGAAGACUGAUGAGAGUAUGGGACGAAUAAGCAUCGGCUAACUCCGUGCCAGCAGCCGCGGUAAUACGGAGGAUGCAAGCGUUAUCCGGAUUUAUUGGGUUUAAAGGGUGCGCAGGCGGCGCGUUAAGUCAGCGGUGAAAUCUUCCGGCUCAACCGGGGGACUGCCGUUGAUACUGGCGUGCUGGAGUACGGACGGCGCCGGCGGAAUGUGUCAUGUAGCGGUGAAAUGCUUAGAUAUGCCACAGAACACCGAUCGCGAAGGCAGCUGGCGAGGCCGGUACUGACGCUCAGGCACGAAAGCGUGGGGAUCAAACA